ensembl:lncRNA
CUCGGAGAGAGAAGCGCCCGAGGUCGUCCCGGGAGACGCCGAGGACGCUGGGACGCGGGGCCGCGCUCCCGGCGCGCGAGGCGCAACUACCGCUUGCCCUCCGCGGGUCCCCGCCUUACCGGAUCCGCCCAGCCCUCCCCGGUCCGCCCCGCCCCCGGGUCCUAGGCGGACCCGGCCCGCGCCGUCCGGGCGUCGUGCGCAGGCGCGGCUUGAACGUCGGGGGCCCGAGCGAAUCAGAACGUCUGAUUCUGGAGCUCCAGGGCCGUUAGUCGGUCCCAGCGAGGGGCGCCUUGGGCCUUAGGCACUCUGUAGAGGGUAAACAUCCACUACCCGGAGCAGGAAACACCGAGCGGAGAGGGCUAGAUUGAAACCCAAGUCGAGAUCUCAGGUUGCCUGUGUAACCUCGGACAGCCGACGUGACCUGAGACUUAGCUUCUUUAGCAGUAAAAUGGGUAUCACAAGCCUGUGACGAACCGCUCAGGCUUAUUGAAUCAUGAUACAUCAGAGGGUGGGGGCGGUGGGAGGGGGGGGGUCCUGACCCCGCCACUGAACUGGCCAAUAAGAAAGAGCCGCCCAGGGCUCAGGGGAUUUGACUUCUCAAAAUAAGACCUUGACUGUUCUCAGGUGGAGAAUCAGAGUAGUGACUGGAUUCAAAUAAUUGUGGUUUCCUAAAGUUUCCAGCUGUCUGAGCUUAGAGUCCUGCCUGGAAAGGAUCGGCAGCCAGUAAAGAAUCGCACGACUGAGAGACUAAGCACAGCACAGAGCUGUUUUUGCCUGGGUUAAUUCAGAUUGGUGAAAGAUUGAGCAGAGGAUUGCUUUUAAGUCUUGAACCAUAGCGAUUCUGAGAACCUCCCUUACGGAUUGAACCGAGGGGGGAUAUACAUCCCUCUUCGUUCUUGAAAUUUUUCCAGAUGCUUGACUUGAUGCCACUGAAAUGUAACUGCUCCUGUGAAAAAAGAUCGUUUAGUCCUAAGGAAUAAGAUUUAUGUAAGACUUGGAUCAUUACUUUCUUUUCCGGCAAUUGAGGGGAGACAUGUAAGAAGGAGAAGGCCUCCUAAGAAAACCUGUAGUCAAAACAACUAAGGGAAAAGACAAAAUCCACAUCUGUGAUGUGAAGCAUGCUGAAGUUAGUCCAGGAGCUAAGUUUUAGCAGGUUCACUGGGAACUUUGUGCCCAGGACUUCGUGCCAUGCUGUGACAGAAUACUGGAGAAACAGCAGAUGAGGAAAAGAGAGGCCUGGAAGAAUAUGAUGCCUUGGCCAAGGCCUUGCAGGGUUUCAUAGAGAACUGCUCCUUCCUUCACAUACUUCUUAGUACUGUUAUUGGUGAAAGAGAAACAGAAAUUGCUGUCCAGCACCUCUUCUGAUGUCUCCCGUUUUGUUGCUGCGGGAUUGUGGUUCUUCUUGCUUCUUUUGUCUGCCCUCUGAUGGAGGAGGCUAAGAGGCUUGUGUGACCCAGCCCUGGGCUCUAACAGGCUCUGUGGUAGAGUUAAUGGAGACCUCCAAGAGGACUUAGACCAAGGGGCACCUUCCAG